UACGAAGGUCCCGAGCGUUGUUCGGAAUCACUGGGCGUAAAGGGAGCGUAGGCGGCGUGGUAAGUCAGAUGUGAAAUCCCCGGGGCUCAACCCCGGAACUGCAUCCGAUACUGCCAUGCUAGAGGAUUGGAGAGGUAGCUGGAAUUCUUGGUGUAGCAGUGAAAUGCGUAGAGAUCAAGAGGAACACUCGUGGCGAAAGCGAGCUACUGGACAAUUCCUGACGCUGAGGCUCGAAGGCUAGGGUAGCGAAAGGG
rnacentral:rRNA from 1 species